rnacentral:lncRNA from 1 species
CACGGCCUUGCGUCACUUCCGGCUUCCCCUCCACCUUUUUCUAGACUUCGCCUCUAGAGACGUCGGAGGGUGGUAAGGACCGGUUUUUGUGAAAUUCCGUACAGCCUCACAUCCUAAUUAUCUAGGCCCUUUUUCUCCAAUGGCCUAGCGUCCGUCGCGCUUUCCAUGGCUCAGCGAAGCAGGUGGAGGUUCCAGGACUGCAGUUUGCGUUUUGUUCUUAAACACAUUUGGGAAAUUACCCUGACCCUGUCUUAUCUCUCUUGAAGUACAGUAAGUUGACUUUAACUUCCAUAGCCUCUUGUAAUAGUGGUAAUACUAAUGAUUGCCAUUUGCUGAGUUCCUGUGAGUCUGACACUGUACUAAGUACUUUCUGUUAGUUUUAUUUAAUCCUUAACAUAACCUAUCCGAACCAUAUUAUUCUUCCUUUUUACAGAUAGAGACAAAAAGCACCAAAGUUAAUGCCUGAAGAUUCACAGCUAGUAAGUAUUAAGUACCUGAAUUAGGUAUCCAACCUAGAUCUUUGAUUUUUGCUGGACAUACUUCUCAAAGUCUCUGAAUUUCCAUAGCCUUUAUUAGACCAUUUUUCACAUUUGAAAAUUACCUAUUUAACAGUUGGUCUUCACCCUGACUCCCCAAGGACUCUGAGCUUCUGGGAGGUAGGGACUGUAUUUCUUGGUGUUCCUGACAUUUGGAAUACUUUGUUUGAGGGGAGAGUUUAGUAGCUGUGGUGUGGGUUAGGAUGUGGCUUGAUGGUCAGUUGUUUGUUGUGGAUGAACUGAGAGAAUGAAAAUCUUUUUUUUUUUUUAAGAUUUUAUUUAUUUACUUGACAGAUCACAAGUAGGCAGAGAGGCAUGCAAAGAGACAGGGGGAAGCAGGCUCCCUGUUGAGCAGAGAGCCCAAUGUGGGGCUCAAUCCCAGGACCCUGGGAUCAUGACCUGAGCCGAAGGCAGAGGCUUUAACCCACUGAGCCACCCAGGUGCCCCGAAAAGCUAGGAGGGAAUUUGGGAUUAGUUACAGGUAGGAGGGAAUUUGGGAUUAGUCAUCCCAGUCUGCUUAUUUUUAGAAAUAGAGCAACUGAGGUGUUUUGUUUUAUCAGAC